CUCAGCCCCCGUAAUAUAGGGUUUGAGGCGAGGCAGAGAAUCCCAGUGGAGAGAGGGGAACCGGCCAGGCAGAGACGGCAAGGGCGGUUUGUUGCUCCCGUGCCUUGGGCCAGACUACACUCAAUCAUAGGAGCUACUGAAGAGAUGAGUCUUCAAUAAAGACUUAAAGGUUGAGACCGAGUCUGCAUCUCUCACAUGGAUAGGCAGAACAUUCCAGAUUGACUUUAGAGAAAGCUAUAACGUCUGCACCUGGCUGCAAGACAUCCUAAACUCUCUGUCCUAGUACAUAAAACACAAUUUUAUCGAUUUAAGGUUGUGCUGUUAUGUUAAAGCCUGUUUUGAAGUGAUUUGAACAAUUAUAAGCUUUAAUGUUUCUGAUUUCUGAUCUACACCUAUAAUUUCCAGUCACUGUGUUUAUAUAGCACCUGGUGCUAAAAGAGGACACUCGUUUAUGAACCCUAUGUUUUCAGAGUUUAGUAAACAGAGUAAAUACUAUCAUACUCACAGCCAACCUGUUUCUUCCUGCAACAGUAUAGUACAACACAAGUGUAUAGUACAUUGUAGCAUCAAUAUUUGAUUUUACUCAAUGGCUGUUUUUUUACCCCACAGUUUGUUUUUUUCAAACUUCAAAAGCAUACAGUAUAUGUUGCCAAAUGUAUUUUUAUUUAUUUUAUUUCACCUUUAUUUAACCAGGUAGGCAAGUUGAGAACAAGUUCUCAUUUACAAUUGUGACCUGGCCAAGAUAAAGCAAAGCAGUUCGACAACAUACAAAAACACAGAGUUACACAUGGACUAAAACAACAUACAAUCAAUGAUACAGUAGAAAAAUAAGACUAUAUACAAUGUGAGAUAAGGGAGGUAAAGGCAAAAAAGGCCAAAUGAACAACUCUAUCAGUGAAAGCCUCCUCUCAUGUUGACAAGCUUUUGAAAACCGCUUUGGUUAGACUUUUCCCGAAAGCACGUCCCAAUAGAAAGUGUUUCUAUAUUCUUCCUGUAUAUUUUAGGUAUACUCUGCUGUUCUUACCUCAUCAGGACUACAGUAGCACAACAAACUUGCUGUGUUUUAAAUUGCUAAUGGUAAAGAAAGAGCUCAGCUAUAUCAUUUUUUGCAUACUUUGUAUAUGCUUAAAUAUUAGUAUAUUUAGAGGUUUACAUACCUCAGAUGUAUAUAAAAUGUUCACAGUAUUUAUAUUGAUUGUCUGGAAGGGGAAUAGUAUUUUGUACUGUAUGUGUUCAUUGUGUUAAACUCGGCUGUGCUAAUAUUGCAAGACAAUAGUAAGAGUUUGAUUGUAAUUGUAUUUCUACUUCAGUAGACAGUUCACACAUCAUUUCCCCCAUUAUCCUCUUUUCAUAUGUGGGUUCUUUGUUAAAAAUGAACAAUUUAUUGAUGCUGUUAUAUAAUAUUGAUAAACAUAGAUACUGUUUUGUCCUCUGCGUAUCUAAAUUGUUAUGUGUAGGCCAAACCUUCACUGUUUGCAGUUUGACAGUGCUGAAUAGAAUAGGACUGAACUCAAAUACCUGGCCACUCCUCUGGCCACUCCUCUACCCUUGCGCUUCUGGAACAGUAAUUUCGCUAACGGCCCUACAUAAACACUCCAUUUAGAAUACCUUCUAUCCAAAGUGAAGGAUGAAAGUCUCUUCCAGACAGUACAUCCAAAUGCGGUUUUAGGCUGUAACUGAGGUAUAAACCAGAUUCAUUGUCACUUCAAGUUCCCUCUAGUGUUGAUUGAAGCUAUGAACAUGGAGUGGACUUAAGGCCUUUUUUGUAGUCUUAUUUAAGAUGCAAGUCGCUAACUUUAGCAACCUUCAAAGGUGGUCUCAACAAGUGGCUUUGCAUGACUUCUCAAUUCUGACUUCCGCUAAUUCUCAUCUGAAAACACCAGUGGUCUGCUUUCAGCAAAUGAGUCACCUGAAUUACUGUGUUGACCUGUGUUUUGGUCUGUGGAAAUGUUAAGCUUAAACAUAAUUAGAUUUUUUUAUCAACUAGACUAUUGUUAAAGUACGUUAUGUGUAAAAUGGUAUUUAUGUUAUGCUCUAAAUUAUGUUUGUUUCAAUCACUUCAACAUUAUUUAUUGAAUAUCUUCAUUGUUUUUUGUUUUAAUAAAAUGCCCUAAUGCUGAAUAGUAUUUGUCAGAGUAUGAUGGAUUGUGUUGAAGCUGCAUGUAUAGAACAUCUGCAUUCUGAUAGCAAUGUGCUGCAGGUAUAGAACAUCUGCAUUCUGAUAGCAAUGUGCUGCAGGUAUAGAACAUCUGCAUUCUGAUAGCAAUGUGCUGCAGGUAUAGAACAUCUGCAUUCUGAUAGCAAUGUGCUGCAGGUAUAGAACAUCUGCAUUCUGAUAGCAAUGUGCUGCAGGUAUAGAACAUCUGCAUUCUGAUAGCAAUGUGCUGCAGGUAUAGAACAUCUGCAUUCUGAUAGCAAUGUGCUGCAGGUAUAGAACAUCUGCAUUCUGAUAGCAAUGUGCACCUAUUUCCCUCAAGUGUUCUUGUUGCACCCAACCUGCACACAGAAAAUCUCUUUGGAGGGUUUCAAUUGAUUUUCUCUUUCAAAGCGAAAGGUGCGUCUUCCUGCUUUGGUUUUAUUUUAUUGAAAGGAAAUAAUAUAUACUGCACUGCAAUAGAAACCACAGAUCAGUUCACAGUAUAGUGCAUCUUCAUUGUCUCCCAGUUCUUUUAGGGACGUUUUGCCAACGAUUUGCAAGAGAGUGACCAAAACUAUUCUCUUUCCUUUUUCCUUGCCCUAUAUAAUACUGAACAAUAUUUUUGCCAUGUUGUUACUGCAAACUCCUAGAAACAUUUCUAUGAAUGUUAAAAUAAUAAUUUUAUGUGUGUAAAUGGUAACAAGAAUAGGCCUACCAUCAUAAAAGUAAAAAACAUGUAUGUAAUUUAUGUAGAAAUGCAACUACAAUUAAAGAUUUAUUUCACGAAUUUAA